rnacentral:rRNA from 1 species
UACGAACUGUGCAAACGUUAUUCGGAAUCACUGGGCUUAAAGGGCGCGUAGGCGGGUGCUCAAGUCCGGGGUGAAAUCCCACAGCUCAACUGUGGAAUUGCCUCGGAUACUGGGUGUCUCGAGGGUGGUAGGGGUAUGCGGAACUAUCGGUGGAGCGGUGAAAUGCGUUGAUAUCGAUAGGAACUCCGGUGGCGAAGGCGGCAUACUGGACCACUUCUGACGCUGAGGCGCGAAAGCCAGGGGAGCGAACGGG